GACGAACGCUGGCGGCGUGCUCAACACAUGCAAGUCGAACGGUAAGGCCCUUCGGGGUACACGAGUGGCGAACGGGUGAGUAACACGUGGGUGAUCUGCCCUGCACUUCGGGAUAAGCCUGGGAAACUGGGUCUAAUACCGGACAGGACCACUGCCUGCAUGGGUGGUGGUGGAAAGCUUUUGCGGUGUGGGAUGGGCCCGCGGCCUAUCAGCUUGUUGGUGGCGUGAUGGCCUACCAAGGCGACGACGGGUAGCCGGCCUGAGAGGGUGACCUGCCACACUGGGACUGAGAUACGGCCCAGACUCCUACGGGAGGCAGCAGUGGGGAAUAAUGCACAAUGGGCGCAAGCCUGAUGCAGCGACGCCGCGUGAGGGAUGACGGCCUUCGGGUUGUAAACCUCUUUCAGCACCGACGAAGCGCAAGUGACGGUAGGUGCAGAAGAAGGACCGGCCAACUACGUGCCAGCCGCCGCGGUAA
rnacentral:rRNA from 1 species